UUGAGGAUUUGGUCGUCUCGUCUCCGAUAUAUCGUUUGCCAUUAGAAUUCAUUUGGUAAAAGAUAUCUUUCGACCGUAUGGAGUUCAUUUUGUAUACCGGUAGUCAAUGAUAGACACGGCACAUGUGGCACUGAUAAACAAUCUAGCAGUACCGGUACCGCAUGCUGUUACAUGUUGCUAUUACUUAUUACAGUUUUAGAUGCUUUUUUUUCUGUAAGAAGAUAAUUUGAAUACUGCCAGACUGUAGUUGACUCACAGUUAGUAGGGGAAUCUAUUGAUAUUUCAGAUCCAUUAUGUCACAUUACACCCAACACCAGAACACCUCUGUUUACUCCCGUUUUUGCCCUACUAGGAAACAAUUAUUUUGCCUGAAUGCCCUCGACCACAUCUUAAAAUAGGAGCUUCAUAUGCUGUUUAAUUGAUAUUUUAUCGUGGCUUUUGAAUAUGCCUAAUACAUUGCAAGAAAGUUUGUUAAUCUUAACCCUGAAGAGUGAAGACGUUACUAAAUCGUAUGAGAUGUAAAUAUUGAAAUACAUCUAUAUUUCAGUAUUUAUAUGGGAUAAAAUUUUCAUAUCUAUCAGAGAGGCAAAUACAAUGAGACGGCUUAUUCAUAUGAUGAACCAAGCUCUCUCAACCUGUUUCCCUUCAAUAUCAGGUAUGGGAAUAGUUAACCAAUUAUUUGCUUCAGAUGUAUAGACAAGAUGUCUGAUAGUGGAGGAAGCCAUAACUGAUCAGUGAUUAUGUGAACUAUCUUGAAUAAUUGGUUAUGGUUAUACGAGUAGUCUUGUGGCUUUGUUUUUGGUAAUAUAGUAAUAUGACAUAUUAAUGGACCUUCAGUUUUAUAGCUGUCGUCUAAUUAAUAUUACCUGCUUAAUUUUUCACUAAACUAUCAAUAGUUUUUUUUAUUCCAAUAAACUCUAAAUACCAGCUUUCUUGAAACUAGGCCCUUUGAAAGGCAUUCUUAGAUAAGAAUACAUGUAGUCAUACUUAUUAUAUGUUAAAAAAAACUUAAUUUUUUUACACAUCAUGGUGUAAGGUUGCAAGCUUACGUAUUUGCAUUUUAUAGCUCAAAAGCUUUUCGUAUGUGGCUUCUGGUACUCAUACUGUCAUAGACAAUGGUGAUGUAAAUCAGCUUCUUUAUAGGCGUAUCUCUGACAGUGGUGUUACUUAUUGAUCUCGGUCGGAAUGAUCUAUGAACAGCGCUCAGUGUGGGAAUGGUUCCUUAUGACUCUUCCAUCAGUUGUGUUGAAGCUGAUGAUGUAACCUUGCCAUGGACAUAAUUCACUUGAAAAGUGUCUUUCGGUGUCUCCAAGAUAGUCACAGUUGGGAAUUUCAUAGGAUAUUUAAAUUUGCAUUUACCGUCAGCACCUUUUUGCCUGCCAGUGCAAUUUGUCUCAUGUCUAUGGAAGCUGUAACCUGUCCCCCUUGGCAACAGCAAAUAGCCUAGCAAUUCUCUUGCAACUAAACCUUUUUGUGGGAUUUCGACUCAUCCAGGAUAGUCAGCAGUGCAAAAGUGUUCAUCUCCUGAUACUUAGCUACCACGAAGUCUCACAGACGAUGAUAAAGAGAAACAAAAUACAAUAAAGAAAUAAGCCGCUUAAGUUGAAUACAUUAUUCAUACGAUCAUUACCUCAGUUUUGUAUAAUUGCCGUCAAACGUUGAGGUAAUACAAAGAUCAGAAGUUUAUUAUAUUGGAUAUAUCAAGUGUAUACGAAUAUUUAUUUAGUUCAAUUUGUAUCAUGGUUAAUGGAUAUAAAAUGGCAAUUCUCUUAUUGCCCCAUUCUAGUUUUCCAAUCUGUUUCUUUGACUCUGUUUAUAUCAGAUUAAGGUACUACCUUGUUAAAGACUAAAUUCCUGUUAUGUUUAUUUAAUUCUUUUGGUUAGGUAGUUAAAAUAUAACGACAUAACAUAACACUUUUGUUACUAUCAUGUUAUUUCCCCUGAACGUACCUAAGAAAGCAAAGGUAGGGCAAUAUCAUGACAGUAUCCCCAGCAUUGUUGCUGCGUCAGGAAUGCAUUUGAAAUGGUAAGGCAAUUGGGUCUGUGCCCCCUUCAAUGUUUGAUGGUUUUUGGCGUCCCAGGUUCGGGAUAGUGUCGUGCAUGUAUUUUAUACUAAUCUUUCCUAUUGAGUUUCCUUAUAUAUAUGAUGUUUGAUGUGCGUUUCACUCUGAGCAUGGCUUUGUGCAAGCAUACACUGUUAUUGAAAGAGCUGCCAGAGUUAGUAAUAGCUGUAAUUUUUUCAUUUAGCAUGUCCUAUACCCUUAGUGAGAUGAUAGACAUGGGGAUCAAACUUGGGAUUUUAAACCUUAGAUGUCGCCAUAGUGGGUCCAAUUCUUAAACCAUUCAUCCCCUGUUGAGCUAAUCCCAGUCCUCGAAGUUAGCAUGCAUUCCAAAAUAUGAAUUGUCACCUUGAACAGUUAUCCAACAUUGUAAAGCUCAAUUUGCUUUUACCACCAUUGACCGCCAUUUAUGUCAUAGAGAUUAAACUUUAUGUUAUACUCAGCAUUCCAGUAAUUGCCAACAACAGUGCUGAUAUUUUUGCAACUUAGUUAUACAAUUAUAAUAUGAUAAGAUUAUGAUGCUAAUUGCCUGAAGCAAAGUUUGUGGCAUUUAUUUGGUUAAUUUGCAUUUAUUUUUACGUCAAUGAUGAACUUACUAUCUGUUUUAUUAUCUGCAGACAAUUUGUUGAUGAUUGUGGUUUAUCUUUGUAAAUGUUUAAAAAGAGUUGCACAACAUGCAAAAAUAGAUUAGAUUAGUAAGGCGGGUGCUCAAGGUCGUCCAGUGAAUGCUUAUUAUAUAAUUGCAGUUUUGCUUGAAUUUUAAAUUUUUUGUGGUGAGACUCAGUGAUGCAGUAUUCUUGGGGGAUGUUCGUAACAGGGUUAUGGAGCUGUGUCCUGAAAUUCUUAUUUAGAAUGACUACAAUGUCCAGAUUUUAUAAUCUGCCUCUUUUAUUAAUAGUAUAGUACUUGCACUUAAUUUUCACAUAGCGAGGGCUUAUUAUGUCCCUUUAACUGGUUCUUUGGAACUGUAGUUUCAGAAUAGUUUUAAACUUUUUUCUUGCACUGAUCAAUUGGAAUGGUCUCAUUAUUAAGAUGCUAUAUUUUUGUAUAGGAAUCUGGUCUCCAUGGGCGACCAUCGAAAUGCUAAAAGCGAGUUAUGUAAUCAAGAGUUUUUUCUUCAGCUCAUAUUUUCCAGAUGUGAUUAAAAACCGUGGAAUGAAAAUUUUUGCAUUCUUUUGUUACAAAUGUUGGAUGGCUUUGAUUUUAUUCCUAUUAUUUUCUUGUUUUAUGAUUGGGGCGCUUACAAUGACUCACAGUCAUAGGGGUACCAAAUUUAUUAAUCAAAAUCAUACUUAUUAUUUGGCACUAAAAUUAUACGGAAUAAUUCUAGACUACCCUUCUGCUGUGAGGAACCCCAAAAAUGACUAAUACUUUAUGCAUUCUUCGGCUGCAUUUGUUUCGCCUGGAGCAAUUUAGUUCAAAUUAUUAUGGAAUUAAAAAAAAAGUUGUUUUACGACAUUGUAACUAAACCUCCAUGCACUCAGUUCAACUCCAGAAUAAGAGUACCCGGAAUUUGGUUAAAAUUUUAUGAAAAGAAAAGUAACAAUAAAUAUUCACAUUUAUUUUAUGUUAUCUAAAAAGGACAAUUAUCCACAGAAAAUUAAGAAAGACUUAUUUAUAUGUUGUACCACUUCUUUUUUCGUUGACUACCAGUUUGGUUGGGUAUGGGAAUAGCUAGCCAAGGUAAAUGAUAGAGAUGCACGGGCUCUCGGGCACUUCAUUACCUGACCAAAUAGAUUCUGAAACUUCUCUGUAACAGAGAAUUACCCAAUCAGUAGUGUUUAUAUGACUUUGAUGUUGAUCCCCGCAUCGAAUAGUGAUAUGUUUAACAUUUUCUGCAAUUCAUAUAAGUUCUAGAGCGUCGUAAAUCAGUAGUUUAAACUCGAUUAUUUGAACAUUGUAAACUCAGUCAACUUAUACUUCCAAACAGCAACUUGCCGUUUGACUUUGCAAUUUACUUCUGUACCGGUUUGGCGCAACGUGUUAGGUGUUAGUAAACAUGCAUACCGUCACGUCGCCGAUUACCUGCGUGGGAAUAAUUAUGCGCGAGAGUAUUUCUGGACUGCUCGCAAUCGCAGGGUGGUUUACGUACGUGCUGGUCGAUUGCCACCACUAAAGUCCAGUCAUAUGGGGCAUUUAAGUAGUUAUUUAUCCCCACAUCUUGUAUGUAGGCCUACAGGAUAAAUAUAAAAGUGUUUUAAUCUAUUAAUUAUGGGUAGGUAUGUGCACCGUAAGGCGAUCAGAUACUCGGCCAAGUAUACCGACAUCUAGCUUGUUAUUUGCUGUGCAUUUAAAUACUAAUAAAUUUUGGUCAUUUUUUUUACUUUUUUAGCUACAUAAAGAAAGCUGCAAUCGUAGUUACGCGGGGAUAAAUGUUGUUUUUGUUUGAAUUAAUUUGUCGUUAAAGAGUCCGCUAGUUCGGUCAUGCGGAAAAGUAUGCGACAAAGUCAAAAUUUUUGAGCGAUAAUGCGCAAAACGGAGAGUUUUUGACGAUUUUUUGACAAUGGAGUUGGUCGGUUUCUCGCUUGAUGGAUCCGAGCCCCCGUCUGGGAAUUUCAUGUCGAUAUUUAACCGCUCGUCGAACGACACUCUGACGCACGUUAUCCCCAACUCCUACGCAAUAUGUUCGUAAUAAUCACUUUGUGUUGGAGAUGAGACUAUCUACCGUUGUCAAUGGAAACCGCUGAAAUUCUUUUUCACCCACGCUUUCCUAUAUUUAAAUGUAUUUUUACUCUUGUUUAUGUUGGUCUAGUCCUUUGCGUGGAAAUAUUCUUUUACCAAUUGAUUUGAUAAAUAAUGAGGGUAAUUUGAAUCGUACGAAAAUAGUAUGUAUUUUGUAGUAUAUGGAUGUAAAACUUUGGGCUAAUCCUCCAAUGUCUUAUUAUUUUGUGCAUAAGACUGAACGGAUAAUUGAAGUUUAUUAUUGGAUACCCUGAUCUAAUUCAUUCACGAUA